AGCUCCAAUAGCGUAUAUUAAAGUUGUUGCGGUUAAAAAGCUCGUAGUUGGAUUUCUGUUGAGGGUGGCCAGUCCGCACUUUGUGCGUGUAUUUGGUUCAGCCUCGGCAUCCUCCUGGGGAGCGUUUCUGUACUUGAUUGUAUGGGGCGUAAUUCAGGACUUUUACUUUGAGGAAAUUAGAGUGUUCACGGCAGGCGUUCGCCUUGAAUAUGUUAGCAUGGAAUAAUAAUAUAAGACCUCGGUUUUAUUUUGUUGGUUUCUAGAAGCGGGGUAAUGAUUAAUAGGGACAAUUGGGGGUAUUCGUAUUCAGUUGUCAGAGGUGAAAUUCUUGGAUUUACGGAAGACGAACUACUGCGAAAGCAUUUACCAAGGAU
rnacentral:rRNA from 1 species